GGACUUAAGUACGGUGACAAGGGCAGUCUCUUAUGAGCGACCAAGUACAUGUCAUAUCUACAUUAAAAGUACUGUUCACCAAGGCGGUGUAUGUCUUGUGCAAAAAGCUUUUAAAAAUAUUUACAUUGGCAAACUUUUCUGGAGAGGCUAUUUUACAUAUAUAGUUCCAAGGCUUUACUAUUCUAUUAAAAAACGAUGCCUGAAAGGUGGAUGUUUUACAGCAGGAGUGUUUUAACAUUAGGGAAGCCUCACAUAUCGAUUUUUUCCACGAGAAACGUCAUAUGUUCGUUUGGGGGUGGGGGGGUUGGCUGCUGUGACGUUUCUCUGUAAACAUCAUGGAAAAAAUCGAUAGUUUUUAUCUUUGCAGAGUAUAAAAAAGAAAACAAUUUGAUACAAACAGCAGUCUAUAUAUUCGUAAUACCGUUUAUAUUGUUACGCCUUCUUUGCAUUUGAAAACACUCAAAUUUCAAGAAAUACGCGCUAAAAUGAUCAAUAUUUCAUUCAAAAAAAUGCUGUUUUGAGAAACGUUGGAAAUUUUGAAGUUCACAUAUAUAUUAAUACUAGGUUACCCACAGGGCAGUAAUGCUGCCUUUGACAGCAAAAGACAAACUACAGGGUGUUGAACGAGUCCUUCAGAAACAUCCUAUUAUUGUUAUCCUUGUUAACCCAUUUAUUGACAGUACCCUACGACUGACUGAGUAUUAAAAAUCGUCUGGCGUUGGUCAGGGUAAAUACUAAAGUAGGGGUCAUUAUACUGUGCUGAUGGAUUAACAAGAGACAUUGGCAGAUAGUUUUGUUAACCCAUUUACUGGCAGUACUCUAUACCACUGACGAGUAAAAUCUUCUGGCGCUGGACAAGGGAAGGGCGCAUUGCCAGCUAAUGGGUUAAACCACCGUGGUUAAUUUGAUGCUCCAGGAAAUGUAAACAAGCUAUCAGUGUAACAUCCCAGUUUCAGGCGACCUCGCUGCGGCAGCAACAAGAAUAAGAA